GUAGGGUGCAAGCGUUAAUCGGAAUUACUGGGCGUAAAGCGUGCGCAGGCGGUUUUGUAAGUCUGUCGUGAAAGCCCCGGGCUUAACCUGGGAAUUGCGAUGGAGACUGCAAGGCUUGAAUCUGGCAGAGGGGGGUAGAAUUCCACGUGUAGCAGUGAAAUGCGUAGAGAUGUGGAGGAACACCGAUGGCGAAGGCAGCCCCGUGGGUCAAGAUUGACGCUCAUGCACGAAAGCGUGGGGAGCAAACAGGAUUAGAUACCCUGGUAGUCCACGCUCUAAACGAUGUCUACUAGUUGUCGGGUCUUAAUUGACUUGGUAACGCAGCUAACGCGUGAUGUGGACCGCCUGGGGAGUACGGUCGCAAGAUUA
rnacentral:rRNA from 1 species